rnacentral:lncRNA from 1 species
UUAGAUUAAAAGUUGAAAAUCAACGCCAACAAAUAACCAGUUCUUGAGGAUCUUGGUUAAACAGUUAAUUAUAUCAGUAUAUAAUUAAUUUGAUUUUAGUUUAAUUGUAGAGAUUAGAAAAACAAAUAAAUCUAAUGAAUUCCAAAAUUAAAGAUGUAGGUUGAAGCCUAAGAAAGAUCUUAUGAAACACCAAGUAUGGCUUCUAAAUCUGAUUUUUGUUCAACUAGUCUUACUAAGAAAGAUGGAAUCAAACUGAAUUAUUACCUCUAAUUCAAGUUCUUUAUUUACAUGCAUACUUUACAUACAUCUGAGAUCCUACUCAAAGGAAACACUACAUUUCAAAAUUUAAGAGUUGAAAGAAGGCCAAAAUCAAAGAUCCAAAGCUUCAAAAACAAAAAUAUAUGAAUCCUUCAUUCAUGGUUGAGAGAUUAUCUACCGAUCAUAAUUCUGCUAGUUCUGGGUAGGAUUUGGGACACUGGGUGGCAUCUUUCUCAGACCUGGCUCCACAGCUUUCUUGGGCUCUUUCAUGCCUGCUCCUUUACCAUGAGUAGGAAAUGAAGCCAGGGAUGACAGUAGCUUCCUUGAACUUAUAAUAUGAUUUCUUUCUCCAGAAGAGACGUCGCCAUGGCUGACACAAAACGAGGAGCAUGAGAUGAGGAUGUGAAGUAGAAUUAACGCCCACAAAGCACUCAAAUUGAUGCAACUGAUCUUCAUCACGAUGGAAAAUGAAAUGAGAAACCACCAAGCCAUUCAAAGGGUCUUAAACUGGUUUAUAAGGGGCAGCAUGCAUGCGUGUUCUUUUGCACGUGGUUUGUCAUAACCCCACUACCCAUAACAUAAAAUUAUAUUUUUAUUUGUAUUUUAAUUUAAUUAUAGCUA